AAAAAGAUAAGCUAAAUUAAGCUAGUGGGUUCAUACCCCAUUUAUGAGAUUUUUUUUCUCUCUUUUUA
rnacentral:tRNA from 1 species